GACAGAAGAAGACUAGGUCUGUCAAGGCUAUACAGAAACUGUCCAACACUUGGACUUUGCACUGUUGCUGAAUGUGGUUAUUAGCUCCGAGAGUUUUUUUUUUAAUAUUUUGGGGUUUUCUUUAUAAAGGAUAGAUCAUCUACAAAUACUUCUUGCUUUUCAAUUUAGAUGAUGUUUCCUUUCCUGCCCAAUUUAUCUGGUUAAAACGUCUGAUACACUGUUGAAUAGAAGAGGCAAGGGCACAUGUUCAUGUCUUGUUCCUGAUAUUGGGAGAAAGCAUCCCGUUUUUCACCACUCUGGCCAGGACAGCCUAUCUGUGCAGGAGGCAUUGCUGGCACCCCGUGGGGACUGAGGACCAAGGAGGAGCUGCUCCCCCACACACGGUUCGUACUUCUGCUCUGUGAAGAGAGACAACUGUGCCCUGUCACCUUCACUGAACUAUGAGAAACGGGGUUUCACCAUGUUAGCCAAGAUGGUCUCGAUCUCCUGACCUCGCGAUCCGCCCGCCUUGGCCUCCCAAAGUGCUGGGAUUAUGCAUUCUCUCUUUACAUCACAAUGACCAUGACCUUGGAUAUGGAGUCCACUCAAAAGUAAUCUGAACUAAUAAACAAAUUCUGCAAGGUUGAAGAAUACAAGGAGAUAUGGAAUCACCAAAGAAUACUGACACAGAAGAACCAAGUAGGAGAGUGUGCAAUUCCCAGUCUCAUAUCUCAUUACAAAACCAAACUAAACAAGGCAUUGGCACAAGAAUAGACAUACAGAUCAAUGGAACAGAACUGAGACCCCAGAAAUAAAACCAAGUGGUCAGCUGACUUUUUGAAAGCUUGCCAAGACCAUCAAAUGGGGAAAAAUUUUUUUAAUAUACGUUGCAGGGAUAAUUGGAUAUAAACAUCCAAAAGAAUGAACUUGGAUGCUUAUCUUGCACCAUAUGCAAAAAUAACUGAAAAUGAAUUCAAGGCUAUAACUAUUAACUCAGAAAAAAAAAA
rnacentral:lncRNA from 1 species